GAUGAACGCUGGCGGCGUGCCUAAUACAUGCAAGUCGAGCGAACGGACGCUGAGCUUGCUGCGUUGUUGUUUGCGGCGGACGUGAGAGUAACACGUGUAUAAUCUACCUAUAUGUGUGGUAUAUCCUCGGAACACGGGCGCAUACACGGUAUGAGAUUUUGCACCGCAUGGUUGAAUAGUGAAAGUCGGUCGUUCUGGCUGUAAUCGCGGGAUCUGCGCUGCAUUAGCUAGUUGGUAAGGUAACGGCUUACGAAGGCAAGGAUGCGUGGCCGACGGGAGAGAGGGGUAGCCGACACUGGAGCUGAGCCACGGUCCAGGCUCCUGCGGGAGGCAGCAGUAGGGAAUCGUACGCAAUGGGCGGGAGCAUGACGGAGCAACGCCGCGUGAGUGAUGAAGGUCCUCCGAUCGUAAAACCCUGUUAUUAGGGAAGAACAGAUGUGGAAGUAACUGUGGACAUCGUGACGGUAACUGAUAAGAAAGCCCCGGCUAACUACGUG
rnacentral:rRNA from 1 species